GCGCACGGGCGAACCGUGGUGAAGGAACUCGGCAAAAUGCCCCCGUAACUUCGGGAGAAGGGGGGCCCGGACCCUGACAUGCCCUUGCGGUGUGGAGGGGGUAAGGGUCGCAGAGACCAGGGGGAAGCGACUGUUUAUCAAAAACACAGGUCCGUGCGAAGUCGUAAGACGAUGUAUACGGACUGACUCCUGCCCGGUGCUGGAAGGUUAAGAGGACCUGUUAGACCCUUGGGUCGAAGCGGAGAAUUUAAGCCCCAGUAAACGGCGGUGGUAACUAUAACCAUCCUAAGGUAGCGAAAUUCCUUGUCGGGUAAGUUCCGACCUGCACGAAUGGAGUAACGACUUCCCUACUGUCUCAACCAUGAACUCGGCGAAAUUGCAUUACGAGUAAAGAUGCUCGUUACGCGCAGCAGGACGGAAAGACCCCGGGACCUUUACUAUAGUUUGGUAUUGGUGAUUGGGACGGUUUGUGUAGGAUAGGUGGGAGACUAUGAAGCUAUCACGCUAGUGGUGGUGGAGUCGUUGUUGAAAUACCACUCUGGUCACUCUGGAUAUCUAACUUCGGCCCGUGAUCCGGGUCAGGGACAGUGCCUGAUGGGUAGUUUAACUGGGGCGGUUGCCUCCUAAAGAGUAACGGAGGCGCCCAAAGGUUCCCUCAGCCUGGUUGGCAAUCAGGUGUCGAGUGCAAGUGCACAAGGGAGCUUGACUGUGAGAGUGACAGCUCGAGCAGGGACGAAAGUCGGGACUAGUGAUCCGGCGGUACAUUGUGGAAUGGCCGUCGCUCAACGGAUAAAAGGUACCUCGGGGAUAACAGGCUGAUCUUGCCCAAGAGUCCAUAUCGACGGCAAGGUUUGGCACCUCGAUGUCGGCUCGUCGCAUCCUGGGGCUGGAGUUGGUCCCAAGGGUUGGGCUGUUCGCCCAUUAAAGCGGUACGCGAGCUGGGUUCAGAACGUCGUGAGACAGUUCGGUCCCUAUCUGCCGUGGGCGCUGGAGAACUGAGGGGGGCUGCUCCUAGUACGAGAGGACCGGAGUGGACGAACCUCUGGUGUUCCGGUUGUCACGCCAGUGGCAUUGCCGGGUAGCUAUGUUCGGAAGCGAUAACUGCUGAAAGCAUCUAAGCGGGAAG
rnacentral:rRNA from 1 species